GAAAACACUGUCUUAAACUACCAUAGUUUUUAGCAUCAUGUGAGAAAGACUCCCAACCUCCGACCAUGCAAUAUCUCUGCUUCUCUCCUCUUGCAAAUUGGGUAGGGAGAUGAUGAAAUCAUUGAUAUUAUUUCAGACCAUGUUUUCAAAAUCUGCUGACUAGUUGUUUCAUCUUUUUUAAUGUCGUGUCCUUAUUGAACAUGUCUUCAAAUAGCACCUAACAAAACUGUCUUUUAAGCCAAAUGCGUGUGCUAACUUCAGGUUUUCUCCACUAAAAAACCAGCUUGUGGAAUCAGUAUCUAAUAUUUAGUUUGUUUUGAAGGAUAAUUAUACUACACUUGCACAUUCUUGUGAAAAAUUAAAACUAUGCCGCCUUCUCUGGAAGAACACUUGAUUAGAGAAACACUUUCAAAGCUAACUGAAUUCUUAAUGUUUGUUGAUAGCUAAUCAUCAGAAUUCAGAGGAAUAAGCACAAUCUAGCCUAAUUUGAUUGCCAUAAAAAAUUACCUUGAAGGUUUGCCAAGUCCUGCAAAAGAUCAAG
rnacentral:lncRNA from 1 species